GCACGCCUAGCUCAGUUGGUUAGAGCAUCGCAUUUACACUGCGAGGGUCAGGGGUUCGAAUCCCUUGGCGUGCA
rnacentral:tRNA from 1 species